UACAGAGGGGGGCAAGCGUUGUUCGGAAUUACUGGGCGUAAAGGGCGCGUAGGUGGCCUUCUAAGUUGAACGUGAAAUCCCCUGGGCUCAACCCCAGGAACUGCGUCCAAGACUGGGAGGCUUGAAUCCGGGAGAGGGAUGCGGAAUUCCAGGUGUAGCGGUGAAAUGCGUAGAUAUCUGGAGGAACACCGGUGGCGAAGGCGGCAUCCUGGACCGGUAUUGACACUGAGGCGCGAAAGCCAGGGGAGCAAACGGG
rnacentral:rRNA from 1 species